GUGGUGCGCGGAGAGGGUAACCACCGGCGCGCGUCACUGAUAUAUCCACCGGGGGGUAAGGGGAGAAAAGGAUACAGCGCGACGAAGUUAGCACGCUGCCCCGUAAGGCUGACGUAA
rnacentral:ncRNA from 1 species